UACAGAGGGGGCAAGGCGUUGUUCGGAAUUACUGGGCGUAAAGGGCGCGUAGGCGGCCUUCUAAGUCGAACGUGAAAUCCCUACGGGCUCAACCCAGGAACUGCGUCCGAUACUGGAAAGGCUUGAAUCCGGGAGAGGGAUGCGGAAUUCCAGGUGUAGCGGUGAAAUGCGUAGAUAUCUGGAGGAACACCGGUGGCGAAGGCGGCAGUCCUGGACCGGCAUUGACGCUGAGGCGCGAAAGCCAGGGGAGCAAAGCGGG
rnacentral:rRNA from 1 species